UACGUAGGCAGCGAGCGUUGUUCGGAAUUACUGGGCGUAAAGCGUGCGCAGGCGGCUUUGCAAGACAGAUGUGAAAUCCCCGGGCUUAACCUGGGAACUGCAUUUGUGACUGCAUGGCUGGAGUGCGGCAGAGGGGGAUGGAAUUCCGCGUGUAGCAGUGAAAUGCGUAGAUAUGCGGAGGAACACCGAUGGCGAAGGCAAUCCCCUGGGCCUGCACUGACGCUCAUGCACGAAAGCGUGGGGAGCAAACAGG
rnacentral:rRNA from 1 species